UCUCGGCCGAUCUCCUGCACCGGCGGUAGUGGUAGUGCUGCUGUUUUGCUGCGUGUCCUUCUCGCGUCUACACCACCGUCCAUCUCUGCCACUUUUUCCAUCAUGGUGGACAUUUUGUUGUUGAUGUUUUUCGCCAUCAUGGGCCUCGUCUUCCUUUCUUACAUCAUCUACUUGCUGUGAUGAAGAUGAUGAAGCGUCCUGCUCAGCCACACAGGCGGCUGGUUGCACAGGCGUACACAGGAUGUAUGUUUUUCCUCUCCUCCUGCUUCACUGGUUUCCAUCAUGGACACUGGGAGAAGAGCCGGGGUCCAGCCAUGAUGGCUUCCCCAUUGGAGCUCAUGUAGGAGGUGAAGAUCAAGUCAGCUGUGAAGCUGUGAGGAGAAACAAAUGGACAAGAAGUGGAAGCCAAAGCCUUUCUGCCUCUCUGUCUCCUACUUGCACUCUGUAAUCACAUCCCUAUUCCUCCUUUUUCCUUAUUUAUUGGGCAGGAUCCUGCAACAAAUGUCAGCCCAAGAGCUCCCACUUACUUGCAAUCAGUGUAUUUUCUAUGCUACUCAAGGUUGUGCAUAAAAAAAAAAGGUAAAGGUGGAGAAAUGUUUCCUCUGCACAAGUCCAAUACAUUCGUAGACAUGGAUGCAGGACGGUUU